rnacentral:rRNA from 1 species
CCUACGGGGGGCUGCAGUCGAGAAUCUUCCGCAAUGGGCGAAAGCCUGACGGAGCGACGCCGCGUGGAGGACGAAGGCCUUCGGGUUGUAAACUCCUGUCACGAGUUAAGAAGGGUAUGCGGCGAACAGCCGUAUGCCUUGACGUAAGCUCGAGAGGAAGCACUGGCUAACUCUGUGCCAGCAGCCGCGGUAAUACAGAGAGUGCAAACGUUGUUCGGAAUUACUGGGCUUAAAGCGCACGUAGGCGGCAUCGCAAGUGUGGGGUGAAAUCCCACGGCUUACCCGUGGAACUGCCUGGCAGACUGCGAUGCUCGAGUGUGGUAGGGGAGAGCGGAACUCCUGGUGGAGCGGUGAAAUGCGUAGAUAUCAGGAGGAACACCGGUGGCGAAGGCGGCUCUCUGGUCCACAACUGACGCUGAGGUGCGAAAGCUAGGGGAGCAAACGGGAUUAGAUACCCUAGUAGUC